rnacentral:lncRNA from 1 species
ACGAGCUUCACGAGAGCUUGAGCUUUAGCUCAAAAGCUCACUCAUUUUGUGAGCUUUGAGCUUGAGCUUCGCUCUUUUUGAAAAAGUGUGAGCUUGAGCUUGAGCUUUUGCCUCAUGAGCGGAAGCUCACGCUUGUGGCGCCAUCUAGUGGCCAAAAUUAAAAGUGGUUGCCGAAAUGAGACAAGUCUCCACGUUUGGAGGUGGAAAGCUGUCUGUGCUACUUGCUAAUAGCCUAGCCUAUACUAGUUGCUUAUGCUUACAGUUACAGCUUAGUGAUUGAACUGAACAAAUAAAAACAUAAACUUGAAAUCUGAAACUGAAAGUCUUAAACUCUUUAGAGAGUAGAGACUAAUGAAAAAUGGCGUCAAAAAAGCGAACAGCUUCUACAAGUUUACAAAGUCAAAGUCAUGUGGGUGCUGUAGGUGGUGAUGAUCAAGUUGAUUGUGAAACUGUAAAUGUAGAGAAUAAUGAUUCUGGCAGCGAUGGGCAUGAUUCUGGCAGAUUUGUCAUUCUCAUUCAAUGUUAGACCAUUGAGCAUUGACCGCUUUCUCAUGAAAGCAAAUCUGAAAAAAAUACACUGUUUUGAUUGUCA